GGAAAGGCAGUUACUCUGUAUGUAUAUGAUAAUUCCUUCUGAAAAAGAAAAAGAGUACAAACAAACUGUGAUUAACAUGAAGAAUGAAAUGCUGAAAAUAGGAAUGAUUUUCAGGAGCGUGAUCCUCCAGAUAUUUCAAAAUAUGGAGAAAGAAUACCAUUGAUCUUAAAACACUGCACUAAAGAGUCCAGAGAAAGAACUGUAUCCACUUCCUAGCUUUAUCAUGGCAAGAAUGACCUCAGGUAUUGUCAUUUAAUUUCCCUGUGACUUAGUUCUCUGUGUGCAAAGGGUGAUUGCUCUCUCUUUGACUUGCAGGCAGGGUUGUUGGGAGAUGUUUUGGUCCCAUAGAGAGGAGCCAGAGAUGCACCUAGGAAGAGUUUCUUUUGUUACGAGAGAUGCAGUUACUGAUGAAAUGUUGAAAGAAACAGCCUGAAAUCAUGAAAACUUCAAAACUACCAAGCUCUCAGGAAGCAUGGGUGGCCAAUAUGCAACUGACUGUAAUACUGCAAAUUGCUUCAGAAGGUGGCCUCUGAAAACUGGCAUUUGAAGAUGGGGACAGUCUAUCAGGUUCUCAGAAGAAUUUAGACACACGCCUCUGAGAAUGGCUCUGAGGGAUCUCAGGAAGGUCAGGCUGGUUUUUACCUCAGCCCACCUCUCCAUCACCAGGAAAGCACCAGGACCCAGAGGGAAGCACCGCUGAACCCCGGGACACACAGUCAGGGAAGCAUCACAGCGCCGACGAUUUUAAGUACGUCCAUGGUGCUGCUCAGCAUCGAUGUAGACGCACCGGGCUUGGAACUCCGGGAUAGCGGGUCGAACCGGGGAUCUUUUGGCGAGAGUCGUUUUGCAGCCCUCCGCCCGCCGCAGG